rnacentral:rRNA from 1 species
AGUGAACGCUGGCGGUAGGCCUAACACAUGCAAGUCGAACGGCAGCACAGUAAGAGCUUGCUCUUACGGGUGGCGAGUGGCGGACGGGUGAGGAAUACAUCGGAAUCUACUUUUUCGUGGGGGAUAACGUAGGGAAACUUACGCUAAUACCGCAUACGACCUACGGGUGAAAGCAGGGGAUCUUCGGACCUUGCGCGAUUGAAUGAGCCGAUGUCGGAUUAGCUAGUUGGCGGGGUAAAGGCCCACCAAGGCGACGAUCCGUAGCUGGUCUGAGAGGAUGAUCAGCCACACUGGAACUGAGACACGGUCCAGACUCCUACGGGAGGCAGCAGUGGGGAAUAUUGGUCAAUGGGCGCAAGCCUGAUCCAGCCAUACCGCGUGGGUGAAGAAGGCCUUCGGGUUGUAAAGCCCUUUUGUUGGGAAGGAAAAGCAGCAGGUUAAUACCCCGCUGUUCUGACGGUACCCAAAGAAUAAGCACCGGCUAACUUCGUG